UACGCCCCGGCGGGGAGCUUCCCGGAAACGAAAGUCUUCCGGUUCCGGGGGAAGUAUGGUUGCAAAGCUGAAACUUAAAGGAAUUGACGGAAGGGCACCACCAGGAGUGGAGCUUGCGGCUUAAUUUGACUCAACACGGGGAAACUCACCCGGCCCGGACACCGUAAGGAUUGACAGAUUGAGAGCUCUUUCUUGAUUCGGUGGUUGGUGGUGCAUGGCCGUUCUUAGUUGGUGGAGCGAUUUGUCUGGUUUAUUCCGAUAACGAACGAGACUCUGGCCUACUAACUAGUGACUGGAUUAUUGCUGUCCAGGUUACUUCUUAGAGGGACAAGUGGUGUUCAGCCACACGAAAUUGAGCAAUAACAGGUCUGUGAUGCCCUUAGAUGUCCGGGGCUGCACGCGUGCUACACUGGAGGAAACAGCAUGCAAAACCAUUGCCGAAGGGCAUUGGUAAACCCGAGAAAAUCUUCCGUGAUCGGGAUCGGGAAUUGCAAUUAUUUCCCUUGAACGAGGAAUUCCCAGUAAGUGUGGGUCAUCACCCUCGCGUUGAUUACGUCC
rnacentral:rRNA from 1 species